rnacentral:rRNA from 1 species
UACGUAGGGUGCAAGCGUUAAUCGGAAUUACUGGGCGUAAAGCGUGCGCAGGCGGUUUUGUAAGUCUGUCGUGAAAUCCCCGGGCUCAACCUGGGAAUUGCGAUGGAGACUGCAAGGCUAGAAUCUGGCAGAGGGGGGUAGAAUUCCACGUGUAGCAGUGAAAUGCGUAGAUAUCAGGAGGAACACCGAUGGCGAAGGCAGGUCUCUGGGCUGACACUGACGCUCAUGCACGAAAGCGUGGGGAGCAAACAGG